rnacentral:lncRNA from 1 species
UGGCUUGGGCAUUUUCUUGUUGAGCUGCAUUUGUGUUUGUGGUUGCAGAUUCAGCUUGAGCUUCGCUUGUGGAUGGGUCCUCUUCAAUGGUGGAUAAAGUUGGGGCUGCUGGUAUGGCUUCACUCGGAGAUGAAGCUUGAGGGGCAAUUGCCUUGGAAGUUGUUGCUGUGUUGGCAGCUUGGACUGGGGACCCUACUUGUCGCUCUAUUGUUACUAAGGUUGUGGCUUGGGCAUUUUCUUGUUGAGCUGCAUUUGUGUUUGUGGUUGCAGAUUCAGCUUGAGCUUCGCUUGUGGAUGGGUCCUCUUCAAUGGUGGAUAAAGUUGGGGCUGCUGGUAUGGCUUCACUUGGAGAUGAAGCUUGAGGGGCAAUUGCCUUGGAAGUUGUUGCUGUGUUGGCAGCUUGGACUGGGGACCCUACUUGUCGCUCUAUUCUUACUAAGGUUGUGGCUUGGGCAUUUCCUUGUUGAGCUGCAUGCGCUUUUGCAUUUGCAGAUUCCAAUGCGGCUACAAUUGAUCUUCUGCUUGUGGUUAG